rnacentral:rRNA from 1 species
GAUGAACGCUGGCGGCGUGCCUAAUACAUGCAAGUCGAGCGAACAGACGAGGAGCUUGCUCCUCUGACGUUAGCGGCGGACGGGUGAGUAACACGUGGAUAACCUACCUAUAAGACUGGGAUAACUUCGGGAAACCGGAGCUAAUACCGGAUAAUAUAUUGAACCGCAUGGUUCAAUAAUGAAAGACGGUUUUGCUGUCACUUAUAGAUGGAUCCGCGCCGCAUUAGCUAGUUGGUAAGGUAACGGCUUACCAAGGCAACGAUGCGUAGCCGACCUGAGAGGGGGAUCGCCCACAAUGGAACGGAGCAACGGUUCAGCCUAGAGAGGGAGACAGAAGACGGGAAGCGUCAGCAAUGGGAGACAGGCUGCCGGAGCAACGACGCGUGAGUGAAGAGGAUCAUCGAAUCGUAAAACUCGGUUGUUAGUGGGAAAGGAUUGUCUAAGAAAUCGAACCCGUAGUGACGGGACCUAAUCAGAAAGCAACGGCUAAUUACGUG